GAUUCAAGGAGCUGUACCCAACCAUGGGCCUCACUGAAGACAUGCUGGUCAUCCUGCCCAAGUCAGAUCAGUGUGCCAAGGCCCUUGGUGUUUAAACGGGAGCCACCCCCAUCAGCUGCAGCUCCUCCAGCCUCCACGGAUGGAUCACAGAAGCAUCAGUGAUCUGAAAAUCCAGGCUGCAGCUUUGUGCCUCCUCACCCUCCUUCCCCACUUCCUUUGGAGGGAUUCGCUCCCUCUGACUG